rnacentral:rRNA from 1 species
AACGCGAAGAACCUUACCAGGCCUUGACAUGCAUCUCUAAACCGGUGAAAGCCGGCGAGUGUCGAAAGACACAAUUUGCACAGGUGCUGCAUGGCUGUCGUCAGCUCGUGUCGUGAGAUGUUGGGUUAAGUCCCGCAACGAGCGCAACCCUUGUCCUGUGUUGCCAUGCCGAAAGGCGGAACUCGCAGGAGACCGCCAGCGAUAAGCUGGAGGAAGGUGGGGAUGACGUCAAGUCCUCAUGGCCUUUAUGUCCAGGGCUACACACGUGCUACAAUGGGCGGUACAAAGCGCUGCGAAGCCGCAAGGUGGAGCCAAUCGCAAAAAGCCGCUCUCAGUUCGGAUUGCAGGCUGCAACUCGCCUGCAUGAAGCUGGAAUCGCUAGUAAUGCUAUAUCAGAACGAUAGCGUGAAUACGUUCCCGGGCCUUGUACACACCGGAGUGC